CUCAUGGAGGCAUCAUGUUUGCUGAAGUUUUUGUAUUCACUCAACUGCAUCCACCUAGGUGUUUGUCACAAUCCUCAGUAAACAAACGCACUGCUGCUUACAACAGCGAUCUUUUGUCAGGAAACAUGAUCGAGUACAAAGCAUCGUGCUAUGCUCUCCGACGCGCAGUAAGAGCCGCCAAACACAGAUACAGGGAACGAAUAGAGUCACUUUUCCAGCUAAAUGACUCCCGACGCAUGUGGCAAGGACUAAGAACCAUCUGUGCCUUUGGAAAUAAAUCCUCUGCAGCUGUGAGAGCAGAUCCGUCGCUGGCUGACGAGCUAAACACUUUCUACGGCCGCUUUGAAAGCAAUCUAAGCAGCACGAGUCUGCCGAUCACCGCGUCAGGAAACAGCAGUCAGAGCAGCGAUAAUCAUGUGAUCACCGUGUCAGAGGAUGAGGUUCAGAGGGCUCUAAAGCGAGUGAACGUCAGGAAAGCAGCAGGUCCUGAUGGGAUUUCUGGCCGUAUUCUGCGGUCCUGCGCUGGAUUGUUUACAUCCAUUUUUAAUGAGUCUCUUGCUUCCUCGGUGGUUCCCACCUCCUUCAAAAAAUCUGUCAUCAUCCCUGUGCCUAAGAACAAUAACCCCUCUUGUCUGAAUGACUAUCGUCCAGUUGCCCUCACAUCAAUAGUCAUGAAGGUCUUCGAGGGACUGGUUAAAAACGUCAUCUGCUCCUCCAUCCCGGAUACUUUGGACCCUCUUCAGUUUGCUUAUCGCCCCAACAGAUCCACUGAUGAUGCCAUCUCUCACAUCCUGCACUCUUCUCUCACACACAUUGACAGCAAUAACAGGAACUAUGUAAGGCUGCUAUUCAUCGACUAUAGCUCAGCUUUCAAUACUAUAGUCCCCAUCAAGCUAGCUUCCAAACUCAUGGACCUCGGCCUGAAUUCUUCACUAUGCAACUGAAUUCUUGAUUUCCUCACCGGCAGACCUCAAGUGGUGAAAGUAGGCCAGUUCAUCUCCAGCUCCAUCACCCUGAACGUAGGAGCCCCACAGGGCUGUGUCCUGAGUCCCCUGCUCUACUCUCUCUACACACAUGACUGCGUGUCUUCCCACAGCUCCACAUCUAUUAUCAAAUUUGCUGAUGAUACUGUGGUUCUGGGCCUCAUUCACAACAAUAAUGANNNNNNNNNNNNNNNNNNNNNNNNN
rnacentral:lncRNA from 12 species